rnacentral:rRNA from 1 species
GAGUUUGAUCCUGGCUCAGGAUGAACGCUGGCGGCGUGCUUAACACAUGCAAGUCGAACGAACCUAUUCGUAGGUGAGUGGCGGACGGGUGAGUAACGCGUGAGGAUCUGCCUACAGGAUGGGGACAACAGAGGGAAACUUCUGCUAAUACCCGAUGUGCCGAGAGGUGAAAUAUUUAUAGCCUGUAGAUGAGCUCGCGUCUGAUUAGCUAGUUGGUGAGGUAAAGGCUUACCAAGGCGACGAUCAGUAGCUGGUCUGAGAGGACGAUCAGCCACACUGGGACUGAGACACGGCCCAGACUCCUACGGGAGGCAGCAGUGGGGAAUUUUCCGCAAUGGGGGCAACCCUGACGGAGCAACGCCGCGUGAGGGAGGAAGGCCUGUGGGUUGUAAACCUCUUUUCUCAGGGAAGAAGUUCUGACGGUACCUGAGGAAUCAGCAUCGUGCCUAUAUCUCCGUGCCAGCAGCCGCGGUA